rnacentral:rRNA from 1 species
GACGAACGCUGGCGGCGUGCUUAACACAUGCAAGUCGAACGGAAAGGCCCUGCUUUUGUGGGGUGCUCGAGUGGCGAACGGGUGAGUAACACGUGAGUAACCUGCCCUUGACUUUGGGAUAACUUCAGGAAACUGGGGCUAUUACCGGAUAGGAUCUCCUGCUCCAUGGUGGGGGUUGGAAAGUUUCGGCGGUUGGGGAUGGACUCGCGGCUUACCAGCUUGUUGGUGGGGUAGUGGCUUACCAAGGCUUUGACGGGUAGCCGGCCUGAGAGGGUGACCGGCCACAUUGGGACUGAGAUACGGCCCAGACUCCUACGGGAGGCAGCAGUGGGGAAUAUUGCACAAUGGGCGGAAGCCUGAUGCAGCAACGCCGCGUGCGGGAUGACGGCCUUCGGGUUGUAAACCGCUUUCGCCUGUGACGAAGCGUGAGUGACGGUAAUGGGUAAAGAAGCACCGGCUAACUACGUG